GGGGGCAGUGACCACUGGCUCCAACAGCAGAGGGAGGGACCUGGACUGAUGACUGACGACCAAGACUACUGCAGCUUCAGCGCCAUCUGCUGCUCCCUCCUGGCUCUUUAACAGAACACUUUUAGAUUUAAACGUGUGCUUGUCUGAGGUUCUGAUACAGAGUCCUCGGCUGGUUUUGGUGCCAGUGUUCACUCAGGUUGAAUGGCAUUACUUGUCAGACACACUUGGACUGUUUUAGACCUGGACUGACCGCAGUCAUGUGACCAGGUGACUGAGGUCCGGACCAACUCCAUGUCUGAAUGUUGUCUGUCUUUAUCGCCUGUUUGUGUCUGUGACUUUAACAACAGUAAUGUUUCUAAACCACUCGCUGUCCAACACCAAGUCCAGUGACUCUAGCUCACAGAGACUCAUUGGCUGUUGGUCCACUGCUGCCUCCUCUGGUCAGUUUGUGUCACUGAGGUCAAGCUGAAAAAGAAAAAAAACUCAAACAUUAAAUUAAACAAACUUAGUUUGAGUUGGAGGCAGCAGUGGACCAACAGCUAGACUUGAUUUCAUCAGAUCAGUUUUCACUGAUAAUGCUAACAGUAGUUCUGCACACAAACACAUGUUCAAAACCCUAAACUGUUCCUUUAAGUGACUCAUGUUUGUCCCAUUGAGGUUAGAACCAAUCAUUGAUCUAUGAAAAUCAGAAUUUUCUUCUUUUUUAUCACUGCAGCCGUUU